rnacentral:pre_miRNA from 1 species
UCCACUAACCAUGACGGGAACCGCGCUGGUUUCUACCGCAGUGAUACGCAAUCAACAAGUCCUCUAUCACCGGGUGGAAACUAGCUCGGGUCCCCGAUUGGUGA